rnacentral:rRNA from 1 species
ACGCUCGACACCUACGGGAGGGCAGCAGUGGGGAAUAUUGCACAAUGGGGGAAACCCUGAUGCAGCGACGCCGCGUGGAGGAAGAAGGUCUUCGGAUUGUAAACUCCUGUUGUUGGGGAAAAAGAGGAUGGUACCCAACAAGGAAGUGACGGCUAACUACGUACCAGCAGCCGCGGUAAUCUGAGCGGGCUGGCAAGGC